rnacentral:rRNA from 1 species
GGAUAACCUGCCCUUAGGACUGGCAUAACCCCGGGAAACUGGGGAUAAUUCCGGAUAGUUCAUGGUAGCUGGAAUGCUCCAUGAUCGAAAGCUAUUGCGCCUAAGGAUGGGUCUGCGGUCUAUCAGGUAGUAGUGGGUGUAAUGUACCUACUAGCCGACGACGGAUACGGGUUGUGGGAGCAAGAGCCCGGAGAUGGAUUCUGAGACAUGAAUCCAGGCCCUACGGGGCGCAGCAGGCGCGAAAACUUUACAAUGCGGGAAACCGCGAUAAGGGGACACCGAGUGCCAGCAUCUUAUGUUGGCUGUCCGCAUGUAUAAAUCACAUGUGCUAGCAAGGGCCGGGCAAGACCGGUGCCAGCCGCCGCGGUAACACCGGCGGCCCGAGUGGUGGCCACUAUUAUUGGGUCUAAAGGGUCCGUAGCCGGUUUGGUCAGUCUUCCGGGAAAUCUGACGGCUUAACCGUUAGGCUUUCGGGGGAUACUACCAGGCUUGGGACCGGGAGAGGUAAGAGGUACUACGGGGGUAGGAGUGAAAUCUUGUAAUCCUCGUGGGACCACCAGUGGCGAAGGCGUCUUACCAGGACGGGUCCGACGGUGAGGGACGAAAGCUGGGGGCACGAACCGGAUUAGAUACCCGGGUAGUCCCAGCCGUAAACUAUGCUCGCUAGGUGUCAGGGACGGUGCGACCGUUUCUGGUGCCGCAGGGAAGCCGUGAAGCGAGCCACCUGGGAAGUACGGUCGCAAGGCUGAAACUUA